rfam:Babesia bovis strain T2Bo apicoplast, complete genome, whole genome shotgun sequence.
GCUUUAAUCGUCUAAUGUUAAAGACAUUUUCUUUUCAAGAAAAAAAUAGGAAUUAAAUUUUCCUUUAAAGUG